rnacentral:rRNA from 1 species
CAGUAGCCGCGGUAAUACGGAGGGGGCUAGCGUUGUUCGGAAUUACUGGGCGUAAAGCGCACGUAGGCGGCUUGGUAAGUUAGAGGUGAAAGCCCAGGGCUCAACCCUGGAAUUGCCUUUAAGACUGCCGAGCUAGUAGGUGAGGGAGGUGAGUGGAAUUCCGAGUGUAGAGGUGAAAUUCGCAGAUAUUCGGAAGAGCACCAGUGGCGAAGGCGGCUCACUGGCUCAUACUGGACGCUGAGGUGCGAAAGCGUGGGGAGCAAACAGGAUUAGAGACCCCAGUAGUCCCUGUCUCUUAUAC